rnacentral:rRNA from 1 species
CUUUGCAAGCCCCAUAAUAACUUUUUUCCCCGAACCCUAGUGAGCUGUAAGUAAUUUGUUCCCAGAACCCACAACCUGAUGUAACAUAAUCCCUUGAAAAAUUACCUUCAGAGGCUACAUACCUUUCGCACUAAGAAAUAGCUGGUUUUUCCCCAACCCAGCCUCAGCUGACCUUAUAAGACACACCCGUUCUCAUUAUGCAACAGGAUCAGGGACAAGCCUAAUCCUGUCCUCCCCAUUUUCCUUUAACAUCUUAUCCUAUGUAGGCCUGAAACCAGCCACCAUAAUAACUCGUUACAGUUCUGCUGCAAGAUCAAUCUCGCACCUAAUGCCUAAACAAGAAAUAUUAACUCAACCCUCCAAGCUAUUAACCCCUGCAAAGACUAGUAUUUUUUUAUCCCACCUCAUCAUGUCACUCCAGUAUAAAAAGAAGGAACUCGGCAAUCAAAUAUCCCGCCUGUUUAACAAAAACAUCGCCUCUAGACCACCCCAUUACAGGUACACCCUGCCCAGUGAAACUCUUCAACGGCCGCGGUACACUGACCGUGCUAAGGUAGCAUAAUAAAUUGCCCCUUAAUUAGGGGCCAGUAUGAACGGCUAGACGAGGGUAUUACUGUCUCCUUUUUACCCGUAUAACCUUAUCUUCAGGUGAAGAAGCCUGAAUCACUAUAAAAGACAAAAAGUCCCUACCAAGCUUUAAUCUUAGUGAAACCCCAUAAGUGAAUCUUCCCUCACUUCGAUUUUUGUUGGGGCAACAAAGGAACACUUAUCAUCCUCCACACCUCCGACUCCAAGUCCCCCAAAAGAUCCCCCACAGAUCCCAGAUACCAGCUACUGUAGGGAUAACAGGCUAAUUCCCCCCCAGAGCCCAAAUCUACCGGGGAGAUUGGCACCUCGAUGUUGGCUUAAGAUACCCCCCAAGUGUAGCAGCUUAAAUGGUGGGUUUGUUCAACCCUUAAAAUCUUACAUGAG